GGCCUCUCUCUUUCCCCAGGAGGACUCUCAGGUGGGAUGAAGAGAAGGUCACUGACUCCACCUUAUGCUUAGACGGGAGGAAAGAAAAGCCUGCUGUUUGUCCUGGCUUGCAAAGUUGCUUCUGGACAGCUCUGUGCUGCGUGGGCAGUGUUACACAGUCAACGGGCUUUCCACCAGGAAGGUCAAGUUUGAAUGGGGCAGGCCAGAGACCGCUGUUCCCAGAGAAGAAUGUGCCCAAAAGAGAAGAGCUGGUCACUUGGGAAGAAGUGCCUUUUGCAGAGGCUGACAGUCACAGAGGCCGUUUGUGUCCCAAGGCCCAGACUCUGGCACCUUUUGCCCCACGCAGAAGGACAGCUGUAUGGAGCUGACUGUGACUCCCAAGUUACAAACGAAUGGUAUAAAAAGCACCGACCAGAGCCCAAUUCCUGGUUCAUGGCUCAGGUACCACAUCUCCAGACCUUUUUGUAAGAGGCUAUGAGCAUUCAAAGAACUAAGCAGUUGCUGAAGCCUCAUUUCCUAUUUCCAACUGCACUGAGAGAACUACGCUAAGAUGCCACCCCUCUCUGCAGGCCCAGCUCACCGUGUAGCUGGACAUGCCCCUCAGUUGUGGCAGCGUGCUAGUACUAGUGAUGCACAGACCAGAAUAGCUGGGAAGGGAAGAGGCGCAUGGGAUUCCUGCACCUGUCUGAAGGGUCCAAGAGACCUGACCUGCUUCCCAAUUAAAGAUGGUACAAGACUUUGAAGGGUUAAAUUUAGACACGUGUUUCUAUCCCAGUUCCUGGGGAGGAGUUUGCAUUCCUGGUGUAAAGAGAUUAAUAAAUGUUAAUUACUGCCUGGUUCAGGUCCCAUCCUAUUUCAGACGCAAACAUUUCCGAGCCUAUUACCUUCAAGCAAUGGGGGAUAACCAGAUGGGCUCCAAGGUUAUGCAGCUGUAAUGGAGAAAGAUGGCCCUGAAAAAAAAUAUGCAUUUGGUAUCUUUGUGUUGUUCUGCUAAGGCAGGAGCUGCCUCCAUACCAUAGCUCAACUCUAAAUAGCCAGCAGUGGCUGUGGGCUACAAGCUGAUGCAGCAGCUCUCCUUUAUAGUCAUGCCUGUAGGUUGUUCUCCCUUCUGUUCUGGAAAGCAGGCCCAAAUCCAAAUUCAAUAAAGCUGGAAGAGCCUUUUGCAGCAUCGCAGAGUGGUUGAGGUCAUCUGCUCCAAGCCCCCACUUGAGCACUUGGGUGACUUAGAGCAGAU
rnacentral:lncRNA from 1 species